rnacentral:lncRNA from 1 species
AAACCACAGAGGGAUUUUUAUGCUCUUUCUUAUUUCUUGCAGCGCAGUUAGUCUACUGCAAUUAUGUCUUGUGUGUUUGUAUUUCAAAGGCUCUCAACACAGUGGCUUUUCCUUCUUCUUUUCUUUUCUAGAAAUUUUCACGAGUAGUUUUUGUUCUAAGACCUCCUAAUAGACACAGAGUGACCUGUCAGAAUUCCUGGUGUGUCCCCACUCCCACCCCUUUGAGUCCUGCCAUUCUCAGGGCUGGUUGGCUUGAAAAGUCACUUUUUACUUCCUUGAUGAGGGUGAAGCCAGUGAGAGGUGCUGGGCCUGAUGAAAGGCUCCCGUUUUCCUACAUUCUCUGUUGUUUCCAUGCCUGGUAACCCCCUCUGAUGUCAAACCAACAGCAGAAACUUCUGCUUGUCCAGUCUAGAGGCCAGGUAGCAACCCAGGCACUUAGAGAGACAGAGAAAGACAGGGCUCCUGACCUCGGGGAAUUCCCUGGGCCUCCAGAAUUUCACUCAGCAGAAACUAGGGGCUCUAAAUGAUCUCCCAACAACAGUUGUGUAUUUUACUUGGUCUCAAGACCUGUUUGUUUGUUUUUUAAAGUCAAGAAUUUCACUAAUCUUUUUAAAAAAGUAAGAAUGUUUCUAAACUCUCAGGUGUUCCACAGGUCUUUCUUGGUUACUGUUUCUUGGGGUUGGGGAGCAAGAUCAUGAGGCUGUGAUAGGUUUGACUGAAAGAGGAGCCUGUCCCUAAGUGAAGUCCCUACCUGGUUUUAGUGAGCCAAGCUCUGCCAAAAUGAAGCUCACAGCCCACUAACACAAACUUCUUUCACUCCCUGAGCCCGUGAGUAAACAUACUUCCUUUUUAAAUCUCAUGUUUUCCUUUCUAAUCAUUCGAAAUUUCUGCCCAGGAUAAAAUCAUCACCCAGAUUCUCACAGAACUCAUGAAUAAUAUUUAAAUCCACUCUCCUAAGCAGCAGGGCCUCAAUUUAAAUAGUACUCUAAACGCAAGCACAAAUUUAUUUUCAAAGCUCUGAAAAUAAAUGAUGAAGCCUCCUACGAGGUUAUCUUUUAUGCAGUAGAGGAGAAAUAUCUUUGAGGGUCAGGUUGCUCAGGCUGCCAAGGGAGUCAGGCACUAGGAAGCCAUGGGGAAGGACAUGUGCUGUCAUUCACAAUGGGAUGGUGCAGUUGGUUUUGAGGGGCCAGGCUGAUAAAGUCACUCUAUUGUGCCGAGGCUAGGCCAAUAAAAGUCCUUCUUCAGACCAUUGAUUCCCUCACCCAUUAAGGAAAGCCACUUCUACUAGAUUGCAGUAUAUUCCUUUAAAGGUGUUGACAAUCCCUUAAUCGCUUGCCCAGAACCAGGAGUACAAAACAGCACAGGGCCAUUGACCAGAAAGCCCCUUCUCUCCCUUUCUGACUUUACAAAAAAUGUGACUCGUAUUCAACACCAAAUCUAUUUUUAAAUUUUAAAUUUACCUUAAAAGAUAAACAAGACUACCUCUCCUUCCUUACUGAACAAGUUAGUGCCGACAGAAAGCCACUAAACAGGGUGGGUUUGUAUACCAGUGCCAAGGGAGUCCAAGGCUGGACCCAGCAUCCAGGAGGUAAGGAAAGAAGGUUAACCCCAUACAUAUGAGAUGAGCUCACCAUCCAAGCCCCACGGAGGACAUCCCACCACAGGUCAUUAGAGCCAUGUGAGGGUAAGAAGCAGACCCCACCCAGGGCAGCCCAGCGCCAAAAGCCAUAGCUGUUUGGAAGGGAGUGCAGGGGAGUGUCUGGGAGUGGCAGAG